rnacentral:rRNA from 1 species
UACGUAGGGGGCGAGCGUUGUCCGGAUUUAUUGGGCGUAAAGAGCUCGUAGGCGGUUUGGCAAGUCGGGUGUGAAAACUCCGGGCUCAACUCGGAGACGCCACUCGAUACUGCUAUGACUCGAGUCCGGUAGGGGAGUACGGAAUUCCUGGUGUAGCGGUGAAAUGCGCAGAUAUCAGGAGGAACACCGGUGGCGAAGGCGGCACUCUGGGCCGGUACUGACGCUGAGGAGCGAAAGCGUGGGGAGCGAACAGG